GGAGAGUUGACCGAGCGGCCGAAGGUGACGGUCUUGAAAACCGUUGUGGCUCACGCCACCGUGGGUUCGAAUCCCACACUCUCCG
rnacentral:tRNA from 1 species